rnacentral:rRNA from 1 species
AAGGAUCAUUACUGAAGGCUUAACGCCAAACAUUGUGAACUGCCUGCUUGCAGGCAUUACUUGGGUGUUCGCUCUCGGGCGUCACCCAACGUUCAAAACUUUUAAUUUUAUCUCUGAAAACCAAGAAAAUUCAAAACUUUCAACAACGGAUCUCUUGGUUCUCGCAUCGAUGAAGAACGCAGCAAAGCGCGAUAGGUAAUGCGAAUUGCACACGUGAGUCAUUGAAUCUUUGAACGCACAUUGCGCCAUCAGGUUCUCCUGAUGGCAUGCUUGUUGGAGCGCCGUUUUUUCUCCCACCUCACUUUGCAGUGAUGGCCGGGGUGGUUGCUCCUUUCAGGAGUCAAAGGUAUGGAAGUGCACACGUUUAGAAUAACUCUGUGCAGUUACAAAACACUUUUGGCCUCCAAUCAAGCAAGGCUACCCGCUGAACUUAA